GUGGUUUCCAGAAAUUUCUCAGCCUCUUGCUGGUCUGCACUAAGCCUCCAGCAACUCAGACGACGGUGUAUGUGCUUCCUCCAGUCCGUGGCUCCAGCAGCUCCUGCUCCAGGUACACAGACCGUGCAAAUCACCAAAGACUUGACAGUUUGAAACAGCAUCCACCUAUUAUCGCAGAGUUCUGUAGGUUGGAAGUCCAGGCGUGGCUUAGUUGAUCUUUCACCUUGGGAUCUCUUGAGAGUGAAAUCAAGCUGUUGGCUUGGCUGCUUUAUUAUCUGGAAGUUCUGGGGAAAGCACGGUGGCCAUUGGGCACUUGACGUUGAGCUAGAACUCACAGAAGUAAGACAGCCCUCAAAGGACAUACACACGUUUGUGAUUUAAAUCACAUUUUCAUCCUAAAUGUGGAAGAACUAAUCAGAACUCUUUCAGCCAAUGGGCAAGAAGCAGAGCAGAGCUCAACUGGAAGUAAUGCUGUACUGAGAGUGACCUGUUCAUUCUGUCUUUGAUUCUCUGACUUUUCUUUCUUCACAUGAGGUAUUUGUAUUUGUUUUUCCUUCUUUUCCAAACCUGCUUUCAAAAAAAGCACUUGACAGGCAAUGGUCUUUAACCAUGACCUCUAGCAAAAACAAACAAACAAACAAACAAACAAAAAAACAA